GCAACACUGACAUUAUACCGUGGGUCAAAUGUCGCAUGGGUCAAAAUGUUCCUAAGGUAAUAUUUCCCUCUUUAGUUGCGAUGAUUUUGAUUCAAAUUCUAACCUGAAACUAGUUAUUUCUGUAUUUUUUGCAGGCCAGCGAAGAAUUAGAAGAGAGAGAAUCACUGGCACAGAUCACAGCUCCCGGAGAAAAUACAUCGUUGGAUGACGGCGAAACUUAUAUCGAAAAAUACACCAAAAGUGUCAGUGCUGUUGAAAGUAUUCUGACAUUGGAUAAACUUCGACAAAGUGUCGCCGUCAAAGAACGAUUACUAGCUCGAGGCAACAAUAAUAACGCCGCUGAUUACCAAAGUGCUGCGAUGAGGAAAACAGCCAGCGUUCCUAAUUUCUCUCAGAUUAUGCGAUUCGACAGUUUCGACUGGUCCUUCAACAUACUUACCAGGGAGCCCAGAGUGACUCGACGAAGACGAAUAGAUUUUGGAAAUUUUCAAACGAGAAGUUUAACAGAACACUUAAAUGUACAUUAUGUAAUGUUGUGAAAUUUGGAGUUGGGAAAUUGCGAUACCUAACAAUAUUGAUCUCCAAAGCUAAAUUUCAAGUUCAAAGAUGACCAUUGACCACACGCCAAGUUGAUGAAAAAUUCAUACAAAAUUCUGCUACCUGAAAAAUGUUUUCACUUUCCUUUUCCUAAAUUUUCAUAGGACUUGCGAAGCAAAAAUUUCAACUCAAUAUUUCAUUUGUUUUUUUUUUUUUUAACAACUACAUAUACCUAAUGGAGGCAAAUU